rnacentral:rRNA from 1 species
AAUGGGGGAAACCCUGACGCAGCAACGCCGCGUGGAGGAAGAAGGUCUUCGGAUUGUAAACUCCUGUCUUUCGGGAAGAUAAUGACGGUACCGAAAGAGGAAGCCACGGCUAACUACGUGCCAGCAGCCGCGGUAAUACGUAGGUGGCGAGCGUUGUCCGGAAUUACUGGGCGUAAAGGGCGCGUAGGCGGCUUUUUAAGUCAGAUGUGAAAACCCGAGGCUUAACUUCGGGAUGGCAUUUGAAACUGGGGAGCUUGAGUGCAGGAGAGGUAAGUGGAAUUCCUAGUGUAGCGGUGAAAUGCGUAGAUAUUAGGAGGAACACCAGUGGCGAAGGCGACUUACUGGACUGUAACUGACGCUGAGGCGCGAAAGCGUGGGGAGCAAA